rnacentral:rRNA from 1 species
AGGACGAACGCUGGCGGCGUGCUUAACACAUGCAAGUCGAACGCUGAAGCCUCUUCGGGGGUGGAUGAGUGGCGAACGGGUGAGUAACACGUGAGCAACCUGCCCUUGGCUCGGGGAUAACCUUCGGAAACGGGGGCUAAUACCUGAUGUGACACAUGUCUGCAUGGGUGUGUGUGGAAAGUUUUUUCGGCCAGGGAUGGGCUCGCGGCCUAUCAGCUUGUUGGUGGGGUGAUGGCUCACCAAGGCGACGACGGGUA